rnacentral:misc_RNA from 1 species
AUGGUCUCUGCAGCAACCAUGUCAGACAACAAACACACCAAGGCUAGUCACCGUGAUCGUGCAAGGGAGGGAACUCGAGGUGAACCAGCAACCAUGUCAGACAACAAACACACCAAGGCUAGUCACCGUGAUCGUGCAAGGGAGGGAACUCGAGGUGAACCAGCAACCAUGUCAGACAACAAACACACCAAGGCUAGUCACCGUGAUCGUGCAAGGGAGGGAACUCGAGGUGAACCAGCAACCAUGUCAGACAACAAACACACCAAGGCUAGUCACCGUGAUCGUGCAAGGGAGGGAACUCGAGGUGAACCAGCAACCAUGUCAGACAACAAACACACCAAGGCUAGUCACCGUGAUCGUGCAAGGGAGGGAACUCGAGGUGAACCAGCAACCAUGUCAGACAACAAACACACCAAGGCUAGUCACCGUGAUCGUGCAAGGGAGGGAACUCGAGGUGAACCAGCAACCAUGUCAGACAACAAACACACCAAGGCUAGUCACCGUGAUCGUGCAAGGGAGGGAACUCGAGGUGAACCAGCGUGUCUCCUCAGUUUCCAAACUGCACGAAGGCUUCAGAGGCUGGGCGAGGGUUACAUCAGUGACCAUGCCAACGAGGAAAACACGUUGGAUGCAAAGCAGUCAGAAAACGAGAAGACAUCAGAAUUAUUCUGGAAUGUCGGGAUGGUCUUCAACAAAUGGAUGCUUUUCAUCGCGAUUGUUUUGGUUAUUAAUUCAUUUUGUCUGGGGAUGGCAGAAGCCUCUCCACACCCUAAAGACAAAACUUACACAAGGAAAGAUCGGGCGACCUUUCAAGAGUGCACUCCACCAAACAGUCGGUGGGAUAAAGCACGUGGAAGUCCCAACACUUGUGAUACUGUCAGUAAAGGCAUUACAGAUGGAGAAGGUGGAUUGACAGUUGACACUGUGACCGUCUUAACACUCUCUAAACAGAUGGAAGAUAUGAAGAAAAUGAUUGUUCAGUUACAAGAGAGACUGGACGAGUUACAUGAUCGGAGCGGAAGGGAGGAGGAGACACUAGCCAGACAGGAUGCUGAGGCUCACAAGGAAGACCACUCCGAGAAGCUGGGGGAACGAGCAAGAGAAGUGGAGAGUUUCACCUCAUCAUCUACAGAAACGGCUAACACAAUAUCAACACUCUCUGAUCGUGUUGAAAGAUUAGAAGUUUGGAAGACUGAUUUUGAGAAUAUGGAAAUACAGAAAGUCAGACAAGAUGCAGAAGAUGCUCAUCAUGUUGCUGCAGGUUGUGUCGAGAAGCUGGAGACAGUCGUAAAGGAUGUUGGAAAUAUUAACACCAACAUCACAUCUGUCAACAACACUGUCUCCAAACUGUCUGACCAAGCCACAGUUCUGCACACACGCCAAGCUGAAUUAGAUGACUGGAAGAAUACGAUUGUUGACAAGGAAUUGUCCAUGCUAACACAAAACGUACGUGCUAUUCACAGUGUGGCCACGGAAGCCAAGGGAUCUUCUAUCAGUAAUGCAGAGAACCUAGAGAAGCUCUCACAUGAUUUGGAUAAAGCGAAAACGGAGUUUACAGCAAACAUUCAGGAUUUACUGUCACUCAGGAAAGAUGUGAAUUCUAUCCAGGUAAUAGCCGAACAUGCUGAGAAGGUUGCAGAACAAAAUACCAUGAAUCUACAGACACUUGUAUUAGAAAUGAGGGGUAUCAAUACCACAGUGUUAAACACCUCUCAUGUUAUGAAUGAAACCAUUUCUGAAUUAAUGGCUUGGAGAACUGAGGUCAGUGACAAGGAAUUGCCGAGGAUUAGACAAAACAUAACAAAUAAUCAGCAAUUGGGUGAAGAAGCUAAACAUGAUGCAGGCGCGAAUUCAAGACUCCUUAAAGAUCACAUUCUGUGGGCAAAUGCUACGUAUGUUGAGUUCAAGAAACAACAGACAGAAACCCUUAAACAGGAUGAAGAAUUUAAUGACAAACAUAAUAGCAUCGAAGAGAAGGUUCGUCUGGAAGAGCGCAGAGGGUCACGAACUGCAGAUGAAGUGGAAAAACUAAAAGUAGAUUUAAGUGCCGUCCAAAUUUUUGCUGAUACUAUUCAGAAAUGUGCCUUUAGUAAUGUUGGGAAGCUUGAAACUUUGACACAGGCAGUGGGAAAUAUCACAACAAACAUUACAGCUAUAAAUAUAACGGCUGAACAGCUCUCUUCACGCGUGGACGUCAUGGAUGGAAGGGUAGAUGGAUUAGAUACUUGGAGAACUGAGAUUGUGGACACGGAAUUACCGACCCUCAAACGAGACAUCCAGAACGCCUCCCAGGAGGCGAAACAAGCAACACGUAGUAGCAGUGCAAAUGGAGAUCUUCUUACUGGUCACAUUUUGUGGGCAAAUUGGACAUAUCUGGAGUUCCAAAAACACCGGAAUGAAACAGUCAAGAAAGAGCAAGAGUUCGCAAAGAAGCAUGACCACACCGAGAGGAAACUAGACGGAGAAGAACUGGACGGCUUCAUGACCAAGGCGGUGGUGGACGAGCUGAAAGGAAAAUCAUCAGUACACGAUAUCGCCCUCUAUCUGUCUGUGUUGAACUUGAUAGCUGUCGCCAUGUUAGUGAAGUACGUGAUGAAGGCUCCGUCAUCCACACCUGGGCCAGCAACAGCAUCAGCAACAGCACCAGCUACAGCUGCAGCUUCCCGCAACGAUAUACAGCAGAGGGGCUCCCGACGUGAGGAGGUGUACGAGCUGCAGUGGAGCCGGCCGAUGGAGGACUCGGUGUGUGUGGUGGCCUUCCAUACCGCGACAGAGGGGAGACAUGCUGACCAGACCAGGUCUGUGUUCGAGUCUGUGCAGCAACCAUGUCCCACCAUCCACUCUCGGGUCAUCAGACGCCACGCAGACAUUACACAGCUGCCGGGGUCGCGUGUCUUCCUCGUCUUUGUCGACUUCAACGAGCGGAACGUCAUCUUGGAGGAUCCGACCAAGGGGCUUGGCGAUCUCAGGGUGACCACUGUGCGGAGUCUCUGGAGGUUUGGAACCGACGUGACGGUGAUCUACUGUGGUGACCAGGGGUCUGUGAAUUUGGACAGCCGUCUUUUCAAUCAGGACCUUGGCUCCAUCCACAGACAGCAGGAGUUGACUCAGCUGAAAAAUGAUGAAAGGAUUCUGAGUAUCUACAGGGACUUCAGCAACACCCAGAGACAACAUUGCAGGAACUUCAUCAACAGACUGUUACAGCGAACAUAGUGACUACUGCAGCUGAUAAUGACCUCAGGCACGACCAGAAACAACCUCGCACGAACUUUAGAAACAAAUUGCAGCAACAAUGUGCUUUUGUGUUACAGUUGGCUUCGCUAUUAAUCGACAGUGUUACAGUUCUGCAUGGUCAUUAGCCGACAGUGUUGCAGUUCUACAGGUCAUUAGCCCACUGUGUUACAGUCCUGCAGGUCAUUAGCCCACAGUGUUACAGUCCUGCAGGUCAUUUACCGACUGUGUUACAGUCCUGCAGGUCAUUAGCCGACUGUGUUACAGUCCUGCAGGUCAUUAGCCGACAGUGUUACAGUUCUGCAGGUCAUUAGCCCACUGUGUUACAGUCCUGCAGGUCAUUAACCGACAGUGUUACAGUUCUGCAGGUCAUUAGCCCACUGUGUUACAGUCCUGCAGGUCAUUAGCCCACUGUGUUACAGUCCUGCAGGUCAUUAGCCGACAGUGUUACAGUCCUGCAGGUCAUUUGCCGACUGUGUUACAGUCCUGCAGGUCAUUAGCCCACUGUGUUACAGUCCUGCAGCUCAUUAACCGACAGUGUUACAGUUCUGCAGGUCAUUAGCCCACGGUGUUACAGUCCUGCAGGUCAUUAGCCGACUGUGUUACAGUCCUGCAGGUCAUUAGCCGACAGUGUUACAGUUCUGCAGGUCAUUAGCCCACUGUGUUACAGUCCUACAGGUCAUUAGCCGACUGUGUUACAGUUCUGCAGGUCAUUAGCCGACAGUGUUGCAGUUCUGCAGGUCAUUAGCCCACUGUGUUACAGCCCUGCAGGCAAUUAGCCGACAGUGUUACAGUCCUGCAGGUCAUUAACCGACAGUGUUACAGUUCUGCAGGUCAUUAGCCCACUGUGUUACAGUUCUGCAGGUCAUUAGCCGACUGUGUUACAGUCCUGCAGGUCAUUAGCCGACAGUGUUACAGUUCUGCAGGUCAUUAGCCCACUGUGUUACAGUCCUGCAGGUCAUUAGCCCACUGUGUUACAGUCCUGCAGCUCAUUUGCCGACUGUGUUACAGUCCUUCAGGUCAUUAGCCCACUGUGUUACAGUCCUGCAGCUCAUUAACCGACAGUGUUACAGUUCUGCAGGUCAUUAGCCCACAGUGUUACAGUCCUGCAGGUCAUUAGCCGACUGUGUUACAGUCCUGCAGGUCAUUAGCCGACAGUGUUACAGUUCUGCAGGUCAUUAGCCCACUGUGUUACAGUCCUGCAGGUCAUUAGCCGACAGUGUUACAGUGCUGCAGGUCAUUAGCCGACUGUGUUACAGUUCUGCAGGUCAUUAGCCCACUGUGUUACAGUCCUGCAGGUCAUUAGCCGACUGUGUUACAGUUCUGCAGGUCAUUAGCCCACUGUGUUACAGUCCUGCAGGUCAUUAGCCGACUGUGUUACAGUCCUGCAGGUCAUUAGCCGACAGUGUUACAGUUCUGCAGGUCAUUAGCCGACUGUGUUACAGUCCUGCAGGUCAUUAGCCGACAGUGUUACAGUCCUGCAGGUCAUUAGCCCACUGUGUUACAGUCCUACAGGUCAUUAGCCGACUGUGUUACAGUUCUGCAGGUCAUUAGCCGACAGUGUUGCAGUUCUGCAGGUCAUUAGCCCACUGUGUUACAGUCCUGCAGGCAAUUAGCCGACAGUGUUACAGUCCUGCAGGUCAUUAACCGACAGUGUUACAGUUCUGCAGGUCAUUAGCCCACUGUGUUACAGUCCUGCAGGUCAUUAGCCGACUGUGUUACAGUCCUGCAGGUCAUUAGCCGACAGUGUUACAGUUCUGCAGGUCAUUAGCCCACUGUGUUACAGUCCUGCAGGUCAUUAGCCCACAGUGUUACAGUCCUGCAGGUCAUUUGCCGACUGUGUUACAGUCCUGCAGGUCAUUGGCCCACUGUGUUACAGUCCUGCAGCUCAUUAACCGACAGUGUUACAGUUCUGCAGGUCAUUAGCCCACAGUGUUACAGUCCUGCAGGUCAUUAGCCGACUGUGUUACAGUCCUGCAGGUCAUUAGCCGACAGUGUUACAGUUCUGCAGGUCAUUAGCCGACUGUGUUACAGUCCUGCAGGUCAUUAGCCGACAGUGUUACAGUCCUGCAGGUCAUUAGCCGACAGUGUUACAGUUCUGCAGGUCAUUAGCCCACUGUGUUACAGUCCUGCAGGUCAUUAGCCGACAGUGUUACAGUUCUGCAGGUCAUUAGCCCACUGUGUUACAGUCCUGCAGGUCAUUAGCCGACUGUGUUACAGUCCUGCAGGUCAUUAGGCAACAGCGUUACAGUUCUGCAGGCCUUUAGCCGACUUUGUUACAGUCCUGCAGGUCAUUAGGCAACAGUGUUACAGUCCUGCAGGUCAUUAGCCGACAGUGUUACAGUUCUGCAGGUCAUUAACCGACUGUGUUACAUUCCUGCAGGUCAUUAACCGACUGUGUUACAGUCCUGCAGGUCAUUAGCCCACUGUGUUACAGUCCUGCAGGUCAUUAGCCCACUGUGUUACAGUCCUGCAGCUCAUUACCCGACUGUGUUACAGUCCUGCAGGUCAUUAGCCGACUGUGUUACAUUCCUGCAGGUCAUUAGCCGACUGUGUUACAGUUCUGCAGGUCAUUAGCCCACUGUGUUACAGUCCUGCAGGUCAUUAGCCGACAGUGUUACAGUUCUGCAGGUCAUUAACCCACUGUGUUACAGUCCUGCAGGUCAUUAGCCGACUGUGUUACAGUCCUGCAGGUCAUUCGCCGACAGUGUUACAGUUCUGCAGGUCAUUAGCCGCGGAGGUACAGUCCUGCAGGUCAUUUGCCGACUGUGUUACAGUCCUGCAGGUCAUUAGCCCACUGUGUUACAGUCCUGCAGGUCAUUAGCCGACAGUGUUACAGUCCUGCAGGUCAUUAGCCCACUGUGUUACAGUCCUGCAGGUCAUUACCCGACUGUGUUACAGUUCUGCAGGUCAUUAGCCGACUGUGUUACAGUCCUGCAGGUCAUUAGCCGACUGUGUUACAGUUCUGCAGGUCAUUAGCCCACUGUGUUACAGUCCUGCAGGUCAUUAGCCGACUGUGUUACAGUCCUGCAGGUCAUUAGCCGACAGUGUUACAGUCCUGCAGGUCAUAAGCCGACAGUGUUACAGUUCUGCAGAUCAUUAGCCGACUUUCUUACAGUCCUGCAGGUCAUUAGGCAACAGCGUUACAGUUCUGCAGGUCAUUAGCCGACUGCGUUACAGUCAUGCAGGUCAUAAGCCGACAUCAGCACUGAUGUGACAAGCAGCUCAUUAACCGACAGUGUUACAGUUCUGCAGGUCAUUAGCCCACAGUGUUACAGUCCUGCAGGUCAUUAGCCGACUGUGUUACAGUUCUGCAGGUCAUUAACCCACUGUGUUACAGUCCUGCAGGUCAUUAGCCGACAGUGUUACAGUCCUGCAGGUCAUUAGCCGACAGUGUUACAGUUCUGCAGGUCAUUAACCCACUGUGUUACAGUCCUGCAGGUCAUUAGCCGACUGUGUUACAGUCCUGCAGGUCAUUAGCCGACAGUGUUACAGUUCUGCAGGUCAUUAGCCGCGGAGGUACAGUCCUGCAGGUCAUUUGCCGACAGUGUUACAGUCCUGCAGGUCAUUAGCCCACUGUGUUACAGUCCUGCAGGUCAUUAGCCGACUGUGUUACAGUCCUGCAGGUCAUUAGCCGACUGCGUUACAGUCAUGCAGGUCAUAAGCCGACAUCAGCACUGAUGUGACAAGCAGUACAACAUCGACUUCAUACACAUACAGUCAUAUAGUCCCGUCAGUGUUGAACAUGUAACUCAUUAUCGGUUAGUGUAUUAAAUCCCCAAUGAGUUGUUCUAACUAGCCGGGACCAAUACUCUACCAUAGCUUCCUUUUAAACCCGGCUGACAUGACACUAAAAAUCGUCCAAUCAAAUUGCUCUAACAUGCGAGAGAAAUGCUGUGGCAACAGUUGGGAUCUGCAGAUGUGAUGUAACGAAGCUGUGCCUUUAAACGACUGAAGGGUCAAGAGUAUUUAUGACAAUACAUACGAAAUAUAAUACAUAUGAUAAUCCAGGAUGAUUAUGGCCCUGACCGCACAAAAAAACAUCGUUUAUUAUUUUUCUAUUGUCUUUGUGGUUUGAUUGAGAAGGUGUGGCUUGUCGGUAAAAAUAAACCCGUCCAUUUGUGAACCUGUUAGGACAGUAAAUAAAACAAUACAAUAACGACA